UACGAAGGGGGCUAGCGUUGCUCGGAUUGACUGGGCGUAAAGGGCGCGUAGGCGGUUCGUACAGUCAGACGUGAAAUUCCUGGGCUCAACCUGGGGGCUGCGUUUGAUACGUACGGACUUGAGUGCGGAAGAGGGUCGUGGAAUUCCCAGUGUAGAGGUGAAAUUCGUAGAUAUUGGGAAGAACACCGGUGGCGAAGGCGGCGACCUGGUCCGAUACUGACGCUGAGGCGCGAAAGCGUGGGGAGCAAACAGG
rnacentral:rRNA from 1 species